CCUCCAUGGCCAAGAAUUGCUCAAGCUUUCUUUCUUCCAUAACUUGGUCAAAUCUCCACCGAAUCCAACGAUUUUUGUCUUGAAACUUGUUGGAAAACACCUCCUAAACACAUUGGUACCACUCUUGAGCCUUGAAAUCGCGUGUGUGAGGAGAUCUUGGCCAUUUACAGCUGCGGUUUUGGUGAGGAAUUUUGUGUUCUUGGAGCUUCUAAGUGCUCCAAUGGUGGAGUAUAGUUAGGAGGAGCCUUGUACCUUCCAUUUGGGUUGCCGUACAUCGACCUGAAUCCCGAAUCUUGAAUCAGUGAAUUGCCCUUGGUCCGGGACCAAGUGGAUUGAGGCAUUCCGCUGUGUACCGAGUUGAGGGAUAAGCUGCUACGGAGCUUGUGGAAACACGAAUUAAGGUAACC